UACGUAGGGGGCAAGCGUUGUCCGGAUUUACUGGGCGUAAAGAGCGUGUAGGCGGCCAAACAGGUCCGUUGUGAAAACUGGAGGCUCAACCUCCAGACGUCGACGGAAACCGUAUGGCUAGAGUCCGGAAGAGGAGAGUGGAACUCCUGGUGUAGCGGUGAAAUGCGCAGAUAUCAGGAAGAACACCAAUGGCGAAGGCAGCUCUCUGGGACGGUACUGACGCUGAGACGCGAAAGCGUGGGGAGCGAACAGG
rnacentral:rRNA from 1 species